rnacentral:rRNA from 1 species
GUCCUGGCAGUAAACGGUGCACGCUUGGUGUGGGAAGGUUCGACCCUUUCCGUGCCGUAGCAAACGUGUUAAGCGUGCCGCCUGGGGAGUACGGCCGCAAGGUUAAAACUCAAAGAAAUUGACGGGGACCCGCACAAGCGGUGGAGUAUGUGGCUUAAUUCGAUGCAACGCGAAGAACCUUACCUAGGUUUGACAUGCAUCUCUAAGUUUAUGAAAGUAAGCGAGCGUAGCAAUACGCAAUUUGCACAGGUGCUGCAUGGCUGUCGU